GUGUCUAUAGCAUAAUGGAUCAUUGCGUUGCGCUACGAACGCAAAGGUUCUAGGUUCGACUCCUAGUAGGCAUU
rnacentral:tRNA from 2 species